UCAGAUCACUCACGCACAAAUUGGAGUGAGAGAAAAGAGAUGGGAUAGAAGUGGGUGGGAUGGCUUCUCAGCUGUUGAAGAAUUCUCUCAGAAUUUUGGGAGCAUAAGCUGCAAACAUUCUUAAAGUUGUGUCUUGGAAGUUACGGCAAUGCCUCUUUUAUGGAGGUUUAUAACUUCUACCUAAAAUAGGAAAUCUACUUAACUUAUGAUAGGGCAUAAUAGAACUCCUAUUUAGCUUAGGACUUAAGCUACUAACUAAUUAAUGUUUUUGUCCAUUAACAAUUUAAAACUCCAAACAGUCUUAAGAAAUAUAAACCUAAGACUCCAACAUGGAGUAGGACUCAAUUAAAAUAAUAAAAACAUGCUAGCACUAGGAGAACCAAGCCCAUCAGUAUGCUGGUUCAAUCAGACCAUAUCUGGGAUGCUGGGAGGCUGGUUCGAAGCUUGGUCUGAACUCCGCUUCUUCCUUCUUUGAUAGGUGAUGCCAAACCCGCUGAGAUGAUCUACAUCAAGUGGAGCUGAUAUAAACAACUAGAGAAUUGAGAUGGAAUGUAAUAUCCAGUAACUGUUGAGGACAGAAAAACUUAGCAUAGACCUGCCUUUCUGUAAUCCAAGCCUAUAAACGAAUAUCUGAGAGAGGAAGAGUGAAUGGGGAGCGUACUAAUUAAUAAAAAACAUCACUUCCCCAGCCAUGCUUAUGUGGCCCGUGUGAUUAUGUUGAAAGAUUGUCUUUUAGACCGAGACCAAUGAAUUGCAAUUCCAAAUGCAACAGUUAUGGUUCGAAAUGUCUGCUAUGAAUCCUUUAUCCAACCAUAUUGAAGGGUUCAAUGCCAAAAGCCAUCUUUGAUUUGCUAGCUGAGGUUACUUGAUGUGCUUGAUUUUACAUAUUAGAACUAUUUGUGAGCAAGUGCUCACAAAAUGGCAGAUUACUUGAUCUUUUCUGCAACCUUUGUUCAGAAGAGAGCUGACAAGCGGUUUCUCAUUUUUGGGUUUAAGCCUUUGCAUGUGAAAUUGUCAUUGUAAAAGAGGAUUCAGCCUUUGGUGUAUAUAUUUCUUAAAUUGUUUAUUUCUGCAUGUUAUCAGUACAGCAAGGGUACAUACACUUGUAAUUUCAUUAUAUAUUUCUGGGGGAAAAUGUUUCCUGUGGGGGAGUGUGGGGCCCAGGGGCGGAGUUGCAAAUGAGCGGCCCACCCCCAUAAAAGGAAAAUUGACUUUGUGGAUGCUUCCUCGUGCGCUCCCAUUGGCCCUCGUGCAUGUGCAGGAACCACACUCCCACAUAGGAAGCAAUUCUCCAUAUUUCUUUUAUAAAUAAAAACUCAGAGUUAAGUGGGGAUAACUGGAUGACUUCUCAAUUUCUUCAUUUUUCCCAUCUGCUCAUCUUUUUUCUUUUUUUCUCUUUCUUCUCUCUUACUUUUUGGCUGCUGUAACAUAUGAACCUUUGAGAUUCUUUUGGUUGGUCUUUGUUUAGGUCAGCAUCACUCUGAUUGCUACUGGAUUUAAACGUCGAGAUGAAACUGAAGGAAGGCCUCUCCAGAGAAGUCAGCUAGGUCAUGGAGACGUCAACCUUGGGAUCAGUCGACGAUCUUCCUCUUUCACUGAAGCUGGCUCAGUGGAGAUCCCUGAGUUCCUGAAAAAGAAAGGACGCUCACGUUAUCCUAGAGCUUGACACUCUUUUUGUUUCCUCCCUUGUAAUAUAUUUCCCCAACCACCCUUUUUCAGUUCAUUAUUUUCUCCUUCACUUCAAAUCCUUCCACAGGUAUUCAGAGCAGCCUAGGAUAUUACAAGGUUUUAUGCCUUAGCUUACUAACUCCGAGAUCCAUUGUUCCCUUUCGAUAAAGUCUAUUUUCUCCAAUCAAAUAAUAAUAAGAAGCUGAAUUUGUUUGGCAUUGUUCAUUUGAUCAUGUAAAAAAUAUAUAAUUAAUUAUUUAUUUAUUUAUUAUUAUUAUUUUUCAA